CAACGUAAUGUUUUCUUACCACCAGACCACCACGUCACCUGCCAGGGAAGAAGGGUCCAGAGUGUACAUUUCCCCCUCUGAACGUUCUGCAAGGCAGAGGGUGCGUUUUUCUGUUGUCUCACGUCAAGAACUUAUGGCGGAGGUGGAGAAGUAUAAAAGGCGUUACCAUAUCCUCAUCUAUGCGUUCCUGGCAGUUGUUUUUGCUGCUAUUCUAUUUUUAUUCUUACUCAGCCUACAUUGUUAUCUGAAUUGUUAAGGAUCAAUUGUUUCCAAAUUCUUGUUGGCUCGCAUUUGUUUUAAGAAUCAAUUGUUUCCAAAUUCUUGUUGGCUAUUAAAAUGUUAUUUUGUAUGUACUUUUUGUCAUACUGCUCGCAUUUGUUUAACGCCAUCGGGUGAAA